GGGCAAGGAAAACCUCAGAGAUUCCUGUGGCUCUGCAGUAGCAAGGCUCCUGCUCAAGCUCUCUCCCUGGGGAUGGAUAAACAAUUGGGAUUACUCUAGGCAAGCAAGUUGGCAGAUGCACAGUGAAUGAGGCAGUGCACUAAAGGAAGAGAAAGGAUAGUCUCAGUUAAGCCAUUGAAUGCUGCCUUGGAGAAUUGAUUCUAUUCAUGCUUCUUCCACUGAGUUCCUGGGUGAUGCUGGACAAGUCACUUAAAACAUAUUUUCAGAGGAGGGUCCUGAAGAACAGUAUAUUAUUAUAUAUAUUAGAAACGUGCAUCUGUCUGUCUGUGAGCAGAACCUCUCACAUGAAACAAACUCAUUUGUUCAAGAACUCCUCCUAAAUGGAGCUGCAGCAGCCAUGGAGAGGUGCUUCUCACCUGGCCCCAACCUGCUGGGAAAGAGGUCUGGGGUUGUCCCCUCUCUCCAGGGCAGCCCGCACACUAUCCCCAGCCUCUCAACCUCAGCCCCACCGCAGAAGAAUGAUUUAAAUGAAGAAAAAUAACACUUAUUUGAAUUAAGGAUCCGAGCAAUGCCAGGAGAGCACAGGUUGGACCUCCCUGAUUCCGCACCCUCAGAAUCCUACUGGUCCCAAAUGAGGGAGUUUUCCGGACCAGAGGAGGUCAAUACCGGCCCUCCUGCCACUGGCUUGGCAGGGUUCCUGGUCUCAACAGGGCUGCUGGCUCUUUUAUCACUGGCCCAGUAGGGCUGCUGGCCGCUGGAUCUGUCACAACUGGUCCUGACCCUAGCAGAGUUGCUGGCCUCUCUGCCUCUGGCCUGGCUGG